UCACUGUCCCCAGGGCUGCCGGGGUGCCGGUGGCCGUGCCCCGCCGGCACCCAGCCUCACCUGGGCCGUGCGAGCGGUAGGAGCGUGGGGACGGGGCCUUGGCGUUCGAUUUGCCCUCUUGUGCUAAGGUUUUCGUGCUGUCGUGCUAGGAUUAAUAAAUAAAAAGCUGUUGCAAAGGAGGGUUCCCGGUGAGUAAUCAGAUUAGCAUACUAUGUAUGUAUUGAACAUAAAGCCAAAUAUAAAUUCCACCCCGUUCUGUUUGUUCCUUCGUCGUUCGCUGAGACGCUGGCAGCGCUGCUUGUGAGGAAAUGCAGGGCUUCGGCGUUCGGACGGGCGUCGGGAAGUUUGGGCGGCGAUCCGAACUUGUCAGCCCUGUUGCACACUGGAAGCUUGAGCUGGGUAACUUGGGCAAAAUGGCUUUGGCAUGUGUUCUCAAGACACGGCUGGUCCCGGCUGGAAAUACCAGGAGAACAGCCUCCCUCCCUCGCCCCCAAGUAUUUUGGCACUUGCUCAUCCCUCCCCAGCUGGGAACCGGAGGAAAAAAGUGUCCUGAUUUUAGCAGCUAGCUUGGCAUUAGGAGAGAGAAAUGAACAGGGCUCUCUCCUGUCCGUUGGCAAGCUUUCCUCAGAGCAACCAGCAGUACCAGCAGGAGAGAUAACAAGCACUGGGGGGCAAAAAGCAGUUGCAGGUAGCGAGCAGAGAAAGGCCUGGCCAUGAAGCAGCCCCAAGCACCGGGCAUCCUCAUGAAAGCUGCCUUUUGCCAGCACGUAGGUUUAUUCAGCGCAUUUACUGGACGCAGGUCCAUGGUAUCAUGCCAGGCGGUGACCGAGACGCUCGGUGACGGCUCGCUUCCUGCCGUGAUCCCACCCAUCUCAGACCCUCUGCUCUCCAGACAGCUCCAGAUCAUCAUCAGCAGGGGAAACACCAGGCUUCCAGUGACCUAUUCGGGCAGCGAGAGGUUAUCACUGUCAAUAGCGAUUAUUAACAAGCGCUUGCCACUCACUGCUGAUGAAGAUGGAAGGAAGUGAAGCCCUCCUAGACCAACCAGCUGCUUUCAGCUGGGUCGUUUCAAACGUGGGGACGGUUGGCUUUAUGGAGAAGGCAGUAUGGAAAUAAGGUGUGCAGGGGGACAGCGGCAUGCCUUGCAUGUGCCUUACAGCCCACAGAAAGCUGGGCCCUCGGAGAGGUGAUCUGGCAGUCGUGGUGUGAGCAGUCAGAAGCAAGCUAGGCGGAAUGGUUUCUGCUCUCCACUCUAGCAAUAUCUAGCGUUAUGGAUUGUCUUUUCAUGACAUUGCUCAUUAUUCAUUUUAAUGCAGAAUGAAAUGACAAUGUAAUAUCCCAAGUUAGUACGUGGAAAUCACUCAUGAAAAAAUUUGACUUAUUCAGCUGUUUUACUGUCAUCCUAUGCAUUUUGUCCACUAUAUAUUCAACAUUAUUGUUAACUACGUUUAGAAAGAAAUCACUCAGCAGUCAUGUUUUCAUGUUUCAGAACUAUGGCUGUAAUAGACUCUGGUCUUUGGUUUAAUUUCUACUCUUCCAUAAGACAACAUACAUAGGACUUAUUGGAUGACCUUCACAGGAAUUUAAAAGUACAUGAAUAAAUAAACAGAGCCACUCAAGACCAAGACAGGUCCCUUCUUCCAGACUCUGUGGAAGCUCUUCCAGUGCUUGGACCCCAGAACUGCCACAGACUGCCCUCCUCAGCCACCACAAAUGUAUCACCAGGGAAUCCUAUUUGGAGCUAAGAUUUUAUCUAAGUGUUUCUGUGACUAAAAUAAAGCAAACUGGUGUUAAAAAA